rnacentral:lncRNA from 1 species
UUUUUUUUGCUAUUCACUAUUAGGAUCAAUUACAACUCAAAUACUAAACAUUUAUUACAACAUCUUUUUCUACUUUAUACAUAAUGUCAAACUGUGAUACUAAUAGUAUUUCUGAAUUCCGCAGACGAUGAAGACUUGGGUCUGAAGCAUGGAAGUAUUGCCUAUCAAAUCUGCAAAAGCCACAGAAAUAAUGAAUUUUGUUUCACAUUUGAAUCAUUGCUCAAAAAUAAGGAUAUUCAGCUAAAGAUAGAAACACAUACAAACAUUUGUAUUUUUCUCCAUAUGUAUGUAUUGAAAAAUGAAGCUGAAGGCCUGAAGCUACCUGAUUCCACUUUUUGGCUUCAGUUCGACUCUAACUGGCAAGAGAAAUGAAGCUGAAUUUUCAACUACGACCUUGUGAUUAGCAGUCAAGGAAAAGUAUGAGGAACAAUAAUACACUUAGCUUGGUUAUUUGCUGAAAAAUAAUUUCAAAUUUUCAAG